CAUUCAAUCCAAGGCCUGGAUUAUAGGUGGAAUAGUGGAUGAAUUCAAGCUUAGAUUUAUUUUUUUCCAAGUCUGUAACAAUUGUUUCAUCGACCCAACUCGAAAUAAACGGCAAACCAGCUGGUUACCGGGUUGAUUCGCCGGUCAGUCCAACUCCUAUAAGGAGGUUAUCGAACAAUAGGAAAGCAACAGAAGUAACCCAUUAAAAAAAUACACGAAGCUUUGAAGCAUUCAACUACUAAUCUCUAUAUGACAAGACAGAUUACUACUUCUAUACUCUCUUUUUUGCCCUCCUCCUCCUCUCAUAGAAUUCCACGCCCAGAUCAGAAACAUCUUCGUGUUUGUCAAUCUAUUCAAUGUUUGAGAAACCAAACACAGUUUGAGUAUUGUUGACUUUGUUAUAUACAGAAAGCAGUUCAAGUUUUACACAUCAAAAUAUCUCUUGAUUUCUCUAUUCGAUUGAUCAUCAAUAGAGUGGUCCUGUUUUGUUUUUGUUUUCCAUAAAGAAUGGGAAAGAAACGUGUAAUGGUGCCGGCUGAGGACGUCGACUUGUCCGCUGUCAAGUACCAGCAUGAAGCAAUCCAAGCUCCGCAUUUGACUGGAUUGAAAUUUAAGCUGUUUGUAAAGUUACUUGAGACUCCGCUUGUUGGUCCUUUGAUUAUAUCACAUUUGAAGAAGGAGAACAAGAUAGUUGAGUUGCUGCAAAAAACUGUGAUACCGGAAGCGCCUAUGUAUAAACCUGAAUAUCCUCCACAAGAACCAGAACCUGGCGUUGUCGUUGUGGAUGAAGAUGGAAAACCAGAAGACCGGGUAGAGUUAGCUAUGAACUGCCUUCCUCCUUAUAAUUCUGCCAGCUGCUGGAAUGAGGACUUGGCUUCACCGUUUAGGUAUUGGAAGAUACGCGAUUAUGCACAUGCUUAUCGGUCCCAGUUUGUUACUCCAUCUAUGGUUGCUGAGAAGAUCAUCUCAGUUAUAGAAGAAUUCAACAAAAAGGAUCCCCCAAUGCCAUUAUUGAUUUCUUUUGAUGCUGAAGAAGUCAGGAAACAAGCUGCAGCUUCUACAAAGAGAUUUGAGGAAGGAAGUCCAAUAUCCAUCCUGGAUGGCAUUUUCAUAUCAAUCAAGGAUGAUAUAGAUUUGUAUCCACAUCCAUCCAAGGGUGGGACAACAUGGAUGCAUGAGGUCCGCCCUGUGGAAGAGGACGCGGUUAGUGUUUCUAGACUGCGUUGCUGUGGCGUGAUAUUUGUAGGAAAGGCAAAUAUGCAUGAGUUUGGCAUGGGUACUACUGGGAACAAUCCAAAUUAUGGAACAACGAGAAACCCUCAUGCAUUGGAUAGGUACACAGGCGGAUCUUCCUCAGGCCCGGCAGCAAUUGUAGCCUCUGGUCUAUGCUCUGCUGCCUUGGGAACUGAUGGUGGAGGUUCAAUCCGCAUUCCCUCUUCUCUCUGUGGUGUAGUGGGUUUGAAAACAACAUAUGGUCGGACAAACAUCAGAGGUUCCUUGUGUGAUCAUGGGACCGUGGCAAUUAUCGGACCAAUUGCAUCUUCUGUGGAGGAUGUCAUGCUUGUGUAUGCAGCAAUUUUGGGCUCCAAUCCUGCAGAUAGGAUCAGUUUGAAUCCGUCACCCCCUUGUUUGCCAAAUUUGUCAUCAUGUGACGGUGCAGAUGCUUUAGGAUCAUUGCGACUGGGAAAAUAUACUGCGUGGUUUAAUGAUGUACAGUCAACUGAUGUCUCUGAUACGUGUGAGGAUAUGCUUAACCUUUUAUCCAAAACACAUGGGUGUGAAAUGGUAGAGAUUGUCAUACCUGAGAUGCAAGAGAUGCGCACUGCUCAUCUUCUUUCAAUUGGAUCUGAGUUUAUGCAGUCACUGAUUCCUGAUAUUGAGGAUGGGAAAGGUGUGAGGUUGAACUACGAUUCCCGUACUAGUGUUGCACUUUUUCGAUCAUUCAGUGCAUCAGACUACAUUGCUGCCCAGUGUCUUAGGCGAAGACUAAUGUACCAUCAUAUGGAGAUUUUCAAAAAGGUUGAUGUCAUAGUGACACCAACAACUGGCAUGACAGCACCCAAAAUACCUUCUGGUGCUCUUAGCUAUGGAGAGACAAAUUUGCAGGUUACAGGUUACCUUAUGCGCUUUGUUGUUGCUGCAAAUCUUCUUGGUUUCCCUGCCAUUUCUAUACCUUUCAUCCUCGGUAAGCGCUGCAUAACGACACAUCCAAUAUGGUCAAUUUUCAGGUUGGUUAUGAUAAACAAGGGCUUCCGAUUGGGUUGCAGCUAAUUGGCAGGCCAUGGGGUGAAGCAACACUGUUGCGUUUAGCUUCUGCAGUAGAGGAACUAUAUGCUAAACCUAAGAAGCGGCCCGCAUCAUUUUAUGAUGUUUUGAAGACGAAAUAAAACAUUGCAUCUACCUUCUAUUCCUAGUCUUCCUUCUCAUGAUUGAAAAAGACAGUUUGUUACCAUACUUCAAUAACAACUGAUCCUUUUUCAUAUAAAUUCGUCAACAAAUUGUCAUUGUCUACAACUCAAGAGCAAUUCAAGUCUAUUAUUGUCGCGGGGUGGUUCCAAACCCAGAUAUGGGUUUUCUUUUUAACAUGAGUCCUAUGAGUGUAAAUUAAGUAAUGUUUAUAUCCUCAAGCAACAAAGAAGUUGGAAGAUCAAA